rnacentral:rRNA from 1 species
AGUAACACGUGGAUAACCUACCUAUAAGACUGGGAUAACUUCGGGAAACCGGAGCUAAUACCGGAUAAUAUUUUGAACCGCAUGGUUCAAAAGUGAAAGACGGUCUUGCUGUCACUUAUAGAUGGAUCCGCGCUGCAUUAGCUAGUUGGUAAGGUAACGGCUCACCAAGGCGACGAUACAUAGCCGACCUGAGAGGGUGAUCGGCCACACUGGAACUGAGACACGGUCCAG